UACAGAGGUGGCAAGCGUUGUUCGGAAUUACUGGGCGUAAAGGGCGCGUAGGCGGUUUCGUAAGUCCUGUGUGAAAUCCCCCGGCUCAACUGGGGAACUGCACAGGAAACUGCGAGGCUUGAGUUCGGGAGAGGGAAGCGGAAUUCCGGGUGUAGCGGUGAAAUGCGUAGAUAUCCGGAGGAACCCCGGUGGCGAAGGCGGCUUCCUGGACCGACACUGACGCUGAGGCGCGAAAGCCAGGGGAGCAAACGGG
rnacentral:rRNA from 1 species